UGGUGGAGUGAUUUGUCUGGUUAAUUCCGUUAACGAACGAGACCUUAACCUACUAAAUAGUCCUGCUUUGUAUGCAAAGCGGGGACUUCUUAGAGGGACUAUCGGCUGAUAAACCGGUGGAAGUUUGAGGCAAUAACA
rnacentral:rRNA from 1 species